UGCAAGUCGAGCGAAGGGAGUAAUCCCUUAGCGGCGAACGGGUGAGUAAGACAUGUCCAACUUUCCUUUAAAACAGGGAUAGCCAUUAGAGAUAGUGGGUAAUACCCGAUAGGUGGUGUGUUCGCAUGAACACAACAUUAAAGAAGCGAUUCGCUUCAUUUAAAGAUAGGGGCAUGGUACAUUAGCUUGUUGGUGAGAUAACAGCCCACCAAGGCGACGAUGUAUAGCCGGUCUGAGAGGACGCACGGCCACACUGGGACUGAGACACGGCCCAGACUCCUACGGGAGGCAGCAGUAGGGAAUUUUUCACAAUGGACGAAAGUCUGAUGAAGCAAUACCGCGUGUUUGAUGAAGGCCUUCGGGUCGUAAAAAACUGUGAUAGAAUCCAAAAACCUAGCAGAGGAAAUGCUGCUAGCUUGAUUAUUCUAUUAGAAAGCCACGGCAAACUACGUGCCAGCAGCCGCGGUAAGACGUAGGUGGCAAGCGUUAUCCGGAUUUAUUGGGCGUAAAGGGUGCUCAGACGGAAAGAUAAGUCUAAAAUUAAAUGCUAAAGCUCAACUUUAGUUUGUUUUGGAAACUAUUUUUCUAGAAUACAAAAGAGGAUGACGGAACUCGAUGUGUAGCGGUGAAAUGCGUAGAUAUAUCGAAGAACACCAAUGAUAGCGUAGGCAGUCAUCUAGUUUGAUAUUGACGUUAAAGCACGAAAGCGUGGGGAGCAAAUAGGAUUAGAUACCCUAGUAGUCCACGCCGUAAACGAUGAGUACUAGAAAUUGGAAAGAAUUCAGUUUUACAGCUUAACGCAUUAAGUACUCCGCCUGGGUAGUACGCUCGCAAGAGUGAAACUCAAAGGAAUUGACGGGGACCCGCACAAGCGGUGGAGCAUGUGGUUUAAUUCGACGCAACGCGAAGAACCUUACCAGGAUUUGACAUCCUUUGCAAAGUUAUAGAAAUAUAAUGGAGGUUAUCAAAGUGACAGGCGGUGCAUGGUCGUCGUCAGCUCGUGUCGUGAGAUGUUGGGUUAAGUCCUAUAACGAGCGCAACCCUCUUUUUUAGUUAUCGCAAGAUCUAAAAAGACUGCUCGUGUUUUAAAUGAGAGGAAGGUGAGGAUGACGUCAGAUCAUUAUGCCCCUUAUAUCCUGGGCCACACACGUGCUACAAUGGCCAAUACAGAGGGUCGCAAUACUGUAAAGUAGAGCUUAAUCCCUAAAAUUGGUCUCAAUUCGGAUUGAGGUCUGCAAUUCGACCUCAUGAAGCUGGAAUCGCUAGUAAUCGCAAGUUAGCCAUAUUGCGGU
rnacentral:rRNA from 1 species